rnacentral:rRNA from 1 species
AUUGAACGCCGGCGGCAGGCCUAACACAUGCAAGUCGAGCGGAUGAGUGGAGCUUGCUCCAUGAUUCAGCGGCGGACGGGUGAGUAAUGCCUAGGAAUCUGCCUGGUAGUGGGGGACAACGUUCCGAAAGGAACGCUAAUACCGCAUACGUCCUACGGGAGAAAGUGGGGGAUCUUCGGACCUCACGCUAUCAGAUGAGCCUAGGUCGGAUUAGCUAGUUGGUGAGGUAAAGGCUCACCAAGGCGACGAUCCGUAACUGGUCUGAGAGGAUGAUCAGUCACACUGGAACUGAGACACGGGCCAGACUCCUACGGGAGGCAGCAGUGGGGAAUAUUGGACAAUGGGCGAAAGCCUGAUCCAGCCAUGCCGCGUGUGUGAAGAAGGUCUUCGGAUUGUAAAGCACUUUAAGUUGGGAGGAAGGGCAGUAAGUUAAUACCUUGCUGUUUUGACGUUACCAACAGAAUAAGCACCGGCUAACAUCGUGCCAGCCGCCGCAGUAAAAC